CACCCCCUAGAAUUCCUUUCUCUGCAUUUCUUGAAGAAACCCUAACUAUAUGUAACAUACCAUCCUCUUCAUCCUUCAUUUUUACAAAAAUAGAGCCCUAAUCAGAUCACUACAAACGCACAACCAGACCCCUCUCUUCUCUCUGUCCGUUCGCCGGCGACCAGGAGCCGUUUUCCGGCUUGUUUCUCCGACAAACACCCACCCCCACAUCCCUCGUCUCUUUCACCAUGCCCAACGAACAGGAUCAGCCGACCACCACCACUUUCGGGUGGUGGCGCGUGGUGGCGUUGGACGGUAGGUUACGAGCGGAUGAGAGCAGAAGAGAUGAGAGAGAGACCUGUUGAAGAAAGAGAGAGAGAUAGCAGUGACUGAACGACGGCGAAGUGCCGUCUCCGACGGUGGCGGCAGUGCCGCCGUGACGGUGGUGGAGGCGACGACAGUGGUGGGGUGUAUGUGUUUGGUUCGGUUCAGGCAACAACUUAACAGGUUUACUCUUUUCAGUUUUCAGUUCGGGUAUUAUUUUCAUCUCGGUUCAAGGCUCGAGUCUCAGUUUGUUUUGGUUAGUGUUACAGGCUUGGUUUUGGUUCAAGAGGUGGUUCAGUUCAAGACGGGUUUUGGGUUUAGGUGACGUCUCGGUUCGGGUCAGUUUUGGGUCCUGGUUACAAGAUAAAAAAAGGGUGUGCGGUUUUAGUUCCAGUUUGGUUCAGAAAUUGUGGCUCGGGAGCAUUGGUUCGGCUCAAUGGUUAAUCGGUCAAGUCAUGGGUCUCGGUUCAGUUCAGAUGUCGGUUCUGAUCUCGUAUGUUUCAGUUCAGAUUUUGGGUGCGGUUUCAAGUCGGUCACAGCUUCGGUUCGGGUCAAGCGGCCUUGGGUCAGACUCAGUUCGGUUGACUUGGUCAAACCGAGUCAACUCAGUCAAUGACAGUCAACUGUUGGUCAACACCGGUCAACAGAAGUCAAGGAUGGUCAACUGGUCAUAGAAGACCCGGAAUACUAUAGAUGCACGCUAGCUACUUCACGUUCUUGGAAUGACAUCGCAGAAUCACGUUAAGCUAGCUUUGCACAGGAAUGUUAAGGUUGCAUUUUCAAAACUAUGGAACGGUUGGAAUAGGAGAACCCAUGGGA
rnacentral:lncRNA from 1 species